UAAAAGUCCACCAAUCAAACUAGGUCAAAAAUAAAUCGAAAAUAAAUUGAAAAUGUGAAAUAAAAUUCCAAGAAAAGGUCAGGUUGACCAUGAGACAGUGGUCAACCUCCAUCCCAAAAAUCAAAUGCUAACAAUAAUUUUAUGUCAUAAAAAUAAAAUCAAUAAAAAAAAGGUGUGUUAAAAUGGACCAGUUAGAAUAAAUAAUUAAAAUAAAAUAUUAAUAUUAAC
rnacentral:lncRNA from 1 species